UGUGUGUUCUGUCGGAUGAGC
rnacentral:miRNA from 1 species